UCUCCGUAGGUGAACCUGCGGAGGGAUCAUUACUGAGUGAGGGCUCACGCCCGACCUCCAACCCUUUGUGAAUCGUACUCGUUGCUUCGGGGGCGACCCUGCCGUUUCGACGGCGAGCGCCCCCGGAGGCCUUCAAACACUGCAUCUUUGCGUCGGAGUUUAAGUAAAUUAAACAAAACUUUCAACAACGGAUCUCUUGGUUCUGGCAUCGAUGAAGAACGCAGC
rnacentral:misc_RNA from 1 species